GUUUUGAAAAGAUGUGUCCCGCCGAGUUUGUUGCCGGUCCCAUAUUGGGAUACCCUCCUACAAUUUAGGAGGGAAUUAAAUCUUCUCGGGUCCGUGGUGUAGGGUUAGAGCCGGCGUAGCUUUAUUUGACGUUCAUAAGCGCAUUGUAAUAUGCCUACUUGAAUAAUAAACUAUCUUUAUCU